rnacentral:rRNA from 1 species
GACGAACGCUGGCGGCGUGCUUAACACAUGCAAGUCGAACGGAAAGGCCCUGCUUGCGGGGUACUCGAGUGGCGAACGGGUGAGUAACACGUGGGUGAUCUGCCCUGCACUUCGGGAUAAGUCUGUGAAACUGGGCCUAGUUCCUGCCAGGUGCCAUUUUUAGCGUGAUGGUUGGAAAGUUUUGUCGGUGUUUGCUGAGCUCGCUGCCUAUCAGCUUGUUGGUGGGGUAAUGGCGUACCAAAGCGGCGGCGGGUAGCCGGACUGCGGGGGUGGCCCGCGACAUUGAGUCUGACAGACGGCAGAGGCUGCUAAGCGAGGCAGCAGUGGGGAAUACUGCCCGAGGAGCGCAGGGCUGAUGAAGAGAGGCCGCGUGGCGGAUGACGGCCUUCUGGUUGUAGACUCCUUUCGCUAGGGACGAAGCAUAUUGUGACGGUACCUAGAUAGGAAGCCACGGCUAACUACGUG